rnacentral:misc_RNA from 1 species
ACCGACCUGGGUCUGAAGCU